GAGAGAAGAGAUCGUCAGGUUAGCUAAGGAGACUGCCUGAUUACCAACCAAUCAAAGGGUCUCAAGUCACCAGUCUAAAAAGACCAGACCCUUUAAAAAGAAGAAGCAGGCAAGUCAUCCUUGGCUACCAAACGAAACUCUCUCUAUU
rfam:Helianthus annuus linkage group 9, whole genome shotgun sequence.